rnacentral:rRNA from 1 species
AACCUUUACACUGCACGCCAGUGCGAUAAGGGGACUCCAAGUGCGAGGGCAUAUAGUCCUCGCUUUUCUGGACCGUAAGGAGGUCCAGGAACAAGGGCUGGGCAAGACCGGUGCCAGCCGCCGCGGUAAUACCGGCAGCCCAAGUGAUGACCGCUCUUAUUGGGCCUAAAGCGUCCGUAGCUGGCCAGGCAAGUCCGUCGGGAAAUCCGCACGCCCAACGUGCGGGCGUCCGGUGGAAACUGCCUGGCUUGGGACCGGAAGACCUGAGGGGUACGUCCGGGGUAGGAGUGAAAUCCCGUAAUCCUGGACGGACCACCGGUGGCGAAAGCGCCUCAGGAAGACGGAUCCGACGGUGAGGGACGAAAGCUCGGGUCACGAACCGGAUUAGAUACCCGGGUAGUCCGAGCUGUAAACGAUGUCUGCUAGGUGUGACACAGGCUACGAGCCUGUGUUGUGCCGUAGGGAAGCCGUGAAGCAGACCGCCUGGGAAGUACGUCCGCAAGGAUGAAACUUAA